rnacentral:rRNA from 1 species
UACGGAGGGUGCAAGCGUUACUCGGCAUCACUGGGCGUAAAGGGCGCGUCGGCGGCCUAGCAAGUCUGGUGUGAAAGCCCAGGGCUCAACCCUGGAAGGGCACUGGAAACUGUUAGGCUUGAGUUCCGGAGAGGAGGGGGGAAUUCCCGGUGUAGCGGUGAAAUGCGUAGAUAUCGGGAGGAAUACCGGUGGCGAAGGCGCCCCUCUGGACGGAAACUGACGCUGGGGCGCGAAAGCGUGGGGAGCAAACAGG